CUAAAUUGUUUAACAUAGCCUAUGUUUUAGCUCAACUUAAAGAUGGGUUCCUAUUGUAAAUGUUGAAUUAAAUACAAAAAUUAGCUCUAAUAGUGACUUUAAUGUCUCACAGGAGUUUAACAAAUAAAUGAAGAUUUAUGAUGGUAAUCAAGUGAAAAAGGGAGUUAAACGACGAAAAGUGGAGCAGCAACAUUUUGACAGAGGAAGACCCCACUAGCGCGGGCUAUGCUGGUUAUGCGCUCCCACGCUAGUUCAGAAAUCCUGCGCAGAAUGAAACCUCACUAGCGCAGGUCGUGCGCUCUCGCGCUAGUCCCGUCCGGAAAGGCAAUUAUUGAGGGAUACAAUUGGCAAAUUGAGUUUAAUCCACUAAAACUAUAAUAAAGCAAAAAUUCCACUAAGAAAACAUGAUC
rnacentral:lncRNA from 1 species